rnacentral:lncRNA from 1 species
GAUGGAGGAGUCGGAACCCGAGCGGAAGCGGGCUCGCACGAACGAGGCGACUGCGGGUGGGAGCCGCUCCGAGGACGAAGAUGAGGACGACGAGGACUACGUGCCCUACGUGCCGUUGCGGCAGCGCCGGCAGCUUCUGGUGAGGGGCCUCAUCCCAGGUGCAACGGCGACAGGUCCCCGGCCGUCCGCGGGAGGGGGGAUAUGGGGGGCGGUAGCAGUACCCUUGGGACGUGGUUCUGAGGAAAACCAGGGACUAGUGAACCUGAGUUCCGGACAGACGUGCGCCCAGUGCACACGACCCCCUUCCCGGAAAAAGCCAGCAGCCUAGGUUCCGACCCUCCCCGGUGCUGUGCCCCACCACCUACCGGGUCUUGGGCUUGACUCUGAGGGACACUGGUGGAACCUCAGCUCCAGAAGCUGCUGCAGCGAAGACGCAAGGGAGCUGCAGAGGAAGAGCAGCAGGACAGUGGCAGUGAGCCCCGAGGAGAUGAGGACGACAUCCCGCUGGGUCCUCAGUCCAAUGUCAGCCUCCUGGAUCAGCACCAGCACCUCAAAGAGAAGGCUGAAGCACGCAAGGAGUCCGCCAAGGAAAAGCAACUGAAGGAAGAAGAAAAGAUUCUGGAGAGUGUGGCUGAAGGCCGAGCCUUGAUGUCAGUGAAGGAAAUGGCCAAAGGCAUUACCUACGACGAUCCAAUCAAAACUAGUUGGACACCCCC